CGGUAGCUAAUACCGCAUAACGUCGCAAGACCAAAGUGGGGGACCUUCGGGCCUCAUGCCAUCAGAUGUGCCCAGAUGGGAUUAGCUAGUAGGUGGGGUAACGGCUCACCUAGGCGACGAUCCCUAGCUGGUCUGAGAGGAUGAUCAGCCACACUGGAACUGAGACACGGUCCAGACUCCUACGGGAGGCAGCAGUGGGGAAUAUUGCACAAUGGGCGCAAGCCUGAUGCAGCCAUGCCGCGUGUAUGAAGAAGGCCUUCGGGUUGUAAAGUACUUUCAGCGGGGAGGAAGGCG
rnacentral:rRNA from 1 species